UCUGCAGCUGGUCUAUCCGAC
rnacentral:misc_RNA from 1 species